GAUGAACGCUGGCGGCGUGCUUAACACAUGCAAGUCGAACGAAGCACUUUAUUAGAUUUCCUUCGGGACUGAUUAUUUUGUGACUGAGUGGCGGACGGGUGAGUGACGCGUGGGUAACCUGCCUUGUACAGGGGGAUAACAGUUGGAAACGGCUGCUAAUACCGCAUAAGCGCACAGCAUCGCAUGAUGCAGUGUGAAAAACUCCGGUGGUAUAAGAUGGACCCGCGUUGGAUUAGCUAGUUGGUGAGGUAACGGCCCACCAAGGCGACGAUCCAUAGCCGACCUGAGAGGGUGACCGGCCACAUUGGGACUGAGACACGGCCCAAACUCCUACGGGAGGCAGCAGUGGGGAAUAUUGCACAAUGGGCGAAAGCCUGAUGCAGCGACGCCGCGUGAGCGAAGAAGUAUUUCGGUAUGUAAAGCUCUAUCAGCAGGGAAGAUAAUGACGGUACCUGACUAAGAAGCACCGGCUAA
rnacentral:rRNA from 1 species